rnacentral:rRNA from 1 species
UACGUAGGGGGCAAGCGUUGUUCGGAAUUACUGGGCGUAAAGGGCGCGUAGGCGGCCCAGCAAGUCGGGGGUGAAAGCCCGGGGCUCAACCCCGGAAUGGCGUUCGAAACUGCUGAGCUAGAGUACAGUAGGGGCAACCGGAAUUCCCAGUGUAGCGGUGAAAUGCGUAGAUAUCGAGAGGAACACCUGCGGCGAAGGCGGGUUGCUGGGCUGACACUGACGCUGAUGUGCGAAAGCUAGGGGAGCGAACGGG